GGGCUUGUACUGGUUUCGACGGGGAUUUUGAAGUCCGAGCAGCCAUUUGCAGACCGUGACUGCAUAUCAAAACGGAAAUAAAUAUAAACGCUGAAGAUAAUUUAGCAAUCGCUGCCUAGUUGCAGCUGUCAGCCUUAAGUCGCUCACUGCUUAAGUCACUGGCAUCGUUUAGGUGAGGAACGUUCAUCUCAAAGCUUUGAGAGAUGAAACGCAUUAUGAAGCUACUGAAUUCACAAGUAUGUCGUUAGACGUGUGAAGGAGGGAACGUUAAAAUAGCGACUGUAAUGGGAGACACUUGGGUGAAUAGAUUUUCGGACGCGGGUUCGAUUCCCGCCAGGUCCAUUA
rnacentral:tmRNA from 1 species